rnacentral:pre_miRNA from 1 species
UAUAAUAUUUUGACUCUAGGUGUUAUUUGAAACUUUUUUACGAUUAAUAUUUUUAUUCUUACUAGAUAAAACAUGAAUAGUACUUUAUACAUAACUAAUUUUUUUAACUUUUUAUACAAAAUUUUCAAAUAAGACAAAUGGUUAAACAUUGGACAUGAAAAACGA